AUGAUGAAGCUAAGUUCCUUAAUGUCCGGCCGUGCGCGGACGCAGAUCGUUGUUCUCCGGCAACUCCUCGUCGAGUUCCAUCCCUCCCACCAAGGUCGCCGAGUUCCGAUGGCGGGGGCCGCCCGCAAGCACGACAAGGGGAAGAUGCCGAAGGCCGCCGCCGUCGGCGACGACUGGCUGAACCGGCACGGGUUCCCGCACGGCUACCACUUCGUCCCGGACGACGCCGAGCUCCUCCGCCUCCUCGAGGACAUGAUCGCCGGCCGCGCUCUCCCCCACCCUCUCCCCAGCAUCUUCCACGGCGUCAGGAUCCGCAACUACCACCCCGCCGAGCUCCACGAGCUGUACAAGGCGCACAAGGAGGCCGGGUCCAUCUACUUCUACAACCAGAGGGAGUUCUCGGGGAGCGCCAGGGUGCGCCCGGGGCGCACCGCCAAGGACGGCUGGUGGAAGGCCUCGGGCGGCGGCCUGCCCUUGGUGCGCCGCGGCCUGGUCGUCGGCUAUAAGCUCACCUUGGUGUUUUACGAGAAGAGGCCCGGCGACAAGCCUGACCAGAAGACCGACUGGAUCAUCAAAGAGUACACCAUUGCCGGACCCAACAGGAAGGCGUCGGAGAUGGCCCUGUAUCGCCUCUACAACAAGUCGGAAAACAGAUCCAAGGAGAAGAAGAAAAAAGCUAAAGAAGAGAAAGCAACUCAAGAAGAAGAAAACACCUUUGCUUCUACCUGGGCGAAGGAGGAGGAAGAGGAGGAGGAGGAGGCGCCACCAUCACCGCCGUAUCUGCUCGCCGGAGGGACGACCUCGCAGGCGGAGGCCGGUCAGCCACGUGACUAUCAUCACUACUACGACUUGGGUGCCGCGCCGGGGCCAAGCACAAGCUGCUGGGUGCCGCCGGACGCUGGCUACACGGGGCUGACAGACACAGUCUGGACGCCGGACGCCGCAGGGACCUCGCAGGCACAGACCGGCCAACCACAUGACUAUCAGCAGUACACGUUCGGUGCCGCGGCGUCGGCACCUGGCUGGGAUGCGCCGGGGCCAAGCAGCAGCAGCAGCAGCUGGGUGACGCCGGCCGACACAAAAUUCUACUUGCAGCUGCAGCACGCCGGAGGGCCUGCGUACAUCUGGGACGACCAUAAGCUGACGCCUCUGGUGCCGUCAGGACCAGCACCCCCUGCGCAUGACCUGCCGGCGUCGCAGCAGCACUCUGACCACCAAGAAGAAACCGCAGGCCCGUCGAAGACGCAGACCCCGCCACCACCGCCGGCGCCGGCUGCUCAGGGCGGCUACCUGGAUGAUGAGUUCGACGUUUGGUGCAAGGCGCAGCAGGUGGCCGCGAGUCCCGCCUUCCACAUGCCCGGCGGCAUAGAUUCGCAGCAGGUGGCCGCGAGUCCCGCCUUCGACAUGCCCGACGGCAUAGAUACGCAGCAGGUGGCCGCGAGUCCCGCCUUCGACAUGCCCGACGGCAUAGAUCCGCAGCAGGUGCCCGUGAGUCCCCUCCCCAUGCUCGAAGACAUCGAUUUCGCCGCCUUCCUCAAGGAUAUACCGAUGAUGCCUACCGACGAAAACAACGAGCGCCUUUCGUGCACAUUAGAUGAGCUCCUCUUCCCCAGGAUGGAGGGCGACGCGCCGCCACCGAGCCCGCCAACUUCGAUGGGCAACAACAACCAGGUUUAG
rnacentral:rRNA from 1 species